UACGAAGGGGGCUAGCGUUGCUCGGAAUCACUGGGCGUAAAGCGCACGUAGGCGGCUUUUUAAGUCAGGGGUGAAAUCCUGGAGCUCAACUCCAGAACUGCCUUUGAUACUGGGAAGCUUGAGUCCGGAAGAGGUGAGUGGAACUCCGAGUGUAGAGGUGAAAUUCGUAGAUAUUCGGAAGAACACCAGUGGCGAAGGCGACUUACUGGACACAUAUUGACGCUGAGGUGCGAAAGCGUGGGGAGCAAACAGG
rnacentral:rRNA from 1 species